UGUUUAAUGUAGCCAGCGUAAGCUGAGAGUCCAAAGCCUCUAUAAAUACAGAUGGAACA
ncrna:unclassified sequences type-P1 twister ribozyme